AUUGAACGCUGGCGGCAUGCCUUACACAUGCAAGUCAAACGGCAGCACGGGUGCUUGCACCUGGUGGCGAGUGGCGAACGGGUGAGUAAUACAUCGGAACAUGUCCUGUAGUGGGGGAUAGCCCGGCGAAAGCCGGAUUAAUACCGCAUACGAUCCACGGAUGAAAGCGGGGGACCUUCGGGCCUCGCGCUAUAGGGUUGGCCGAUGGCUGAUUAGCUAGUUGGUGGGGUAAAGGCCUACCAAGGCGACGAUCAGUAGCUGGUCUGAGAGGACGACCAGCCACACUGGGACUGAGACACGGCCCAGACUCCUACGGGAGGCAGCAGUGUGGAAUUUUGGACAAUGGGCGAAAGCCUGAUCCAGCAAUGCCGCGUGUGUGAAGAAGGCCUUCGGGUUGUAAAGCACUUUUGUCCGGAAAGAAAUCCUUGACUCUAAUACAGUCGGGGGAUGACGGUACCGGAAGAAUAAGCACCGGCUAACUACGUG
rnacentral:rRNA from 1 species